rnacentral:lncRNA from 1 species
UUUGAUGACAGAGAAUUGGUUGAGAAUGAUUCAACCCACACUGGGCAAUGAAAACAAUGAGUAGUUCUUAGAAAACUUACAGUAUAUAUUCAAACCUAAUAGCAUUUAAUUGGUAUACAAUGGGAUUUAGUAUAGUUUCCAAUUUUCCCAAGCCCGGAAACUUGUACCAGUUUUAGCCAAGAUAAUAGUUCUGUUAUUUCCAAUCUGCUCUCUUUUGAUUUGGCUGUGAAAGUUCUUCCUUAUUUCAGAGUCUUAUUCUCCUCUAGCCUCCCCCUCUUCCCCCGCUUCAGAAGAUGUUACCUUCAUGUGUAUAAAUGGAUUGAGCUGAUAUGUUGUCACUUUCGUGCCUGUAAGCACAUACUAUUGUUUAUGGAACAUGUUCUAAAAUUUGUAAAUAGCUCAAAGUUUAUGUUAAGAUAUGAUUCUUGAUAGACACCAGUCCAAAAGAGGUUUGGCUUUUCUACGCUUUGGCUGAGCCUGCCAGGAAUUUCUAAUUUACCCAGAAUGUUUGUAUGCUCUUUGAGUGUCUGGGCUUAGAAUUUUACUGUUUUUUCAUUUUACACUCUGUAUCUUAUUGGCUACAUUUUUUUCCUUCCCAGUUGCACUCAUGGUAUGCUUUCUAGUCUUGAAAACUCACUUAACUAUUACAUGUAUGAUUAUAUAGGCUUAUUAAAAAUGUAUUAAGUACCAAAAACUGUUUUAGGCAUUUAGGGUAAAGUGGUUAUUACAUUUCUAGCCAUCAUGAUACUUAUAUUAAUUCAGUAAAAUAAACUAAUUUCUUAGAAGACAGAAACUGAAGCAAAUUCUAUUUUGUUCUUAAUAGAGUGCUAGAAACAUAAAUAGAUGUUCAAUAAAACUUCCUGGAUUAUUAAAAUAAAUAUUUUGUUUAAAUAUUAGAAACUUCUAUGGAACUUGAUUGAAGGAAACUUGGCAAUUGUAGACUUAAGAGAGUGGGAGACUGUUUGAGCUGCAAGGUCUUAAGAAGCUAGCAAUGAAAUGCUUGCUUUUCCCAUGUGAAAACACAGAAAAUACCCAUGUCAGUCAUUGAAAAUUGACUGUAAUUGUGUAACACACAGUUCACCCCAGCAGACCUAGUGGAAAGAAAUGGGAAGUAUUGGGAAGAACACUGAAAUUGGGGUGAGAAAACAGGGUUGGCUUUGUAACUCAGUAGCUAUCUGACUCUAGGCAAGUUUCCUAAAUUUCAAAACCCACAUAAAAUAGUUCAUUCAACCCUUCAGAAAUGUGGCUAAGACUAGAAUGUCUGAGAACACUUUGAUACAUCUAACUAUUUUUCUAGAGAGACAGGAUUAGGUUUGGGGAAUGUGUCUUAAAUGGAAAGAUGCUGAGGAAAAUAGGAAGCCACUGGAAGUAGGGGAAAAACAUGUUCCUGAUCCUUUAGGAAUGCCAUGAAAUUCCACCCAACCCCCAAAACUAAAAUGGCUAGAUAGCAGUUCCCUGAUGGCCUAGUGGGUUAAUGAUCUGGCAUUGUCACUGGUGUGGCUCAGGUUCCAUCCCUGGCCCAGGAGCUUCCCACAUGCUGUGGGCACAGCCAAAAAUAAAUAAAAUAAAAUAAAAUAUAAGAUAAAAUGACUAUAUAGACCAUGCAGAAUGUGUAAUUUGAUCAACAAGAAGUUCAACUAUAGUGCCACUUACAGUUUGGACCAUUAUUAUAUGGGCAGAGUUCAUGGAAAAAUACACAACCUCUCUUAUUCUGAAAUACUUAGCAUGAAAAACAGAUGAGAAUUUAAAUAUUUCUCAAGCUCAUCAUGAAAAUGCCUAGCAUAUUUUGUGGACAACAAUUUCUUGCAUUAUUAGUUACUUUGUUUUUCAGUAGGUGCAAGCAUAUUGUGAGAUGUUCUAUAUUUAUGAAAUUUAUGACAAACUGUGAAAAUAACAUAAUUCAUUUUGGGUGAGCCAAAGCAGUAGCCCAAAUAUUUCAUUGAAAUUCAGAUCAACAUUUUGGGUUCUAUAUUUGUUCUUAGAUAGAUUUAAAAAUAUGAUUGGAGAUAUAUUUCUCAUUGCCAUUUUUUUACAUUUUGCUACAGUUUAUUAUAUUUUAGAAAUGAUUCAAUAUGGUUAUGCAAUAGGCAGUAUAAAUCACCUACUUCAUAUUUACACAUUCUGUUAUGGCCAUAAGAAGCUGAGAUUUUCUUUUGAAUGACCGGGAACUUGAGUAUCAUUGUAUUAUUUCUUCUUUUUCUCCUUGAAUGUAACUUUCAUUGUUUGUAUAUUAGAAAACAUUUUGAAUGAGAGAAGGCAAGGCUCUGAGUUAUGUAAGUAGAACUCUAUUCCGGAAAUGAUAGCAUCUGUCUAUCUCAUUGCCAUUUUUUAAUUUCCAUUUUUAGAUUGUGAGAAAUGCAUUACACUGAAAAUCAGCAAACAUGAGAACUGAUAUCUACUCAUCUGUGUUGGAUAGCGUGUCUUUGGAGAAGUCUUCCUGCACCCCUCUCCCAAUAAAGUGAAGCAUUCUGCUGCUGUGCUGUCCACUAGUUUAUGCCCUGUUUUUCUCUAGUGUAGUUAUGUGUUCACAUACCUAUCUUUUGUAUCAGACAGUGGGUUCUCUGAUGGGAAAUACUUGGUCUUGUCCUGCUUGGUAACUUUAGCAAAGGACCCAACAUGUUGUUGAUGCUCAAUAAAUGUUUUUUGACCCAAAAACAUUCAAUCGAAAUGAAUCCUUAACGCUGGAAAAACAGCUGCAAGGUUAGUUAGGACUCUUUUAAUCUUGAUUCUGAUUAAACAAUACCUUGAACCUCAGAAUUUUUCAGUACUUGAUUUAGAGAGAUGGAAACCUAGGUGAAUAACAUUCAUUUUUGUAUUCCUCCGAGAGUACAGAAAGCUUUAUAAGAGAAACUCCCUGGGAUGGUCCUUUAUUCCGUUUGCCUUCUCCCUGAUGGAUGCCUGGGGGAGUAAUUAUCUUGCAACAUGAGAAUUAAAUCCACAUUUUAGGACUGGUUUCAAUAGGCGUACUGGAGAAAUCUGGAUCCCUGAUGACCCUGAGCCACAGUACUCAUCCUGAUCUUCCUGUCCUUGGCUUGUUGCAUAAGACGAGUUUAACCCCUUUCUUAUUUAACUCAUUGUGGGGUUUUCUGGAAACCAAACACAGUUCUGAUAGAUUUGCCCUUUCAAGGAAAAGGGGAGCACAUGGCUUCAAAGUCUGACGAGAUUUUCCAUGGCCAAAACCAUUCUACUGAAACAGCUCCAUCUUUGCCCAUGAUGCAAAGGAACUGUCCCGAAUGACAUAGCAUGUCUGAACAUUUCUUUGUCAAAAAGCCUGGGCUUAAAAAACCCAUGAAAGUUGUCUUAGAAGUAAAUAUGGGAGUUCCCGUCAUGGCCUAGUGGUUAAGGAACCCAACUAGUAUCCAUGAGGACGCAGGUUUGAUCCCUGGCCUCUCUCAGUGGGUUAAGGAUCCGGCGUUGCUGUGAGCCGUGAUGUAAGCUGCAGACAUGGCUCAAAUCCCACACUGCAGUGGCUGUGGGGUAGGCCAGCAGCAGUAGCUCUGCUUUGACCCCUAGCCUGGGAACCUCCGUAUGCUGCAGGUGCAGCCCUAAAAAGAC